rnacentral:rRNA from 1 species
CCUACGGGGGGCUGCAGUGAGGAAUAUUGGUCAAUGGGCGAGAGCCUGAACCAGCCAAGUCGCGUGAGGGAAGACGGUCCUAUGGAUUGUAAACCUCUUUUGCCGGGGAGCAAAAAGCGGUACGCGUACCGCCUCGAGAGUACCCGGAGAAAAAGCAUCGGCUAACUCCGUGCCAGAAGCCGGGGUAAUACGGAGGAUGCGAGCGUUAUCCGGAUUUAUUGGGUGUAAUGGGUGCGUAGGCGGAAGGUUAAGUCAGCGGUGAAAUGUCGGUGCUCAACACCGGCCUGCCUUUGAAACUGGUCGUCUUGAGUGAGCGAGAAGUAUGCGGAAUGCGUGGUGUAGCGGUGAAAUGCAGAGAUAUCACGAAGAACUCCGAUUGCGAAGGCAGCAUACCGGCGCUCAACUGACGCUGAGGCACGAAAGCGUGGGGAUCGAACAGGAUUAGAUACCCGGGUAGUC